AUAGUUACAUACUCAAUCACAUUGAUAUAUAUAUGAUCGUAUAUUGUAUUUUAACAUUAGUAAUAACAAUUAUGAAAAAAAAAACAAAAGUUAACAACAGUAAUAAUUAUAAAUUCACUAGUGGCUAAAUUCUUAUCAAAACAAAAGUACUCGUACAUUAUUGACAAUUAAAGUGUUUUGUGUGUGUGUGUGUGUGUGUGUGUAUUACGUAACACAGUUUUAAAAUAGUUACUUGAAAUUAACCAAUAUAACAAUAUUUUAAGAUUAAUAAUCUAAAGUUAUUAUCAGUAAUCUAAAAUAUGAGUCUGAAAGGCAGUGAAACGACAUUAGAAGAAAGAAACAUUGUUAUAAAUUUAUUUAAAGAGGGUAAUUCGUAUUCAAACAUUGCAGCAAUUGUAAAAAAAAGUUGUUCAAUAGUACAAAGUAUAAUAAAUAGUACAAAAACAGUACAAAGUGUAUAAAUAAAACAGAAAUAUUGCAAGAUAUAAAAGAGUAUACUGACAUGAUCCUUAUGUUAAGUACAUAUAUAGGUAAUAUAUCUAUGGCUGCUAAAUACUAUAAAGAUUAUUAUCCAAAUUGCCAACAUCCUGAUCAGAAGUCAUUCAAAGAGAUAAGCAAAUACUUGCAGAAAAUGAAUCUUUAGAAACAUUUCAAAAGAAUGUUAGCAGAGAUAGAAAAGGAUUAAGUAUCAUUUAACAUACAAAAGUUAUCUUUGUACAAUUCAAAAUAACUUCAAUUUCAAAGAGAAAUAACUAAAAGAAUGUAAAAUUUAAUUGAAUUUACAAUUUUUAUUUUCUUUGUUUCUAUAUUUUGUAUAAUUGAUCAAUUGAUUAUAACAUAAAAAAGUCUCAUAAAGAUCUGUUAUAAAUCUGAUCAAAUAAAAGUCCAUGUUACAAUCGGGAACAAUAAUUUGGAUUUAAGAAACAGCUCUUUGAAGAAAUGGAAGAUUCAUGGGCCCUGGCAUUUUUCCAUUUAUUUCUAUAUUUAUGUCCUAAAUAAAUUUGUAUCUUAAAAAUAGUUUAUUUAAAAUAUAUUUUACUUUUAUAUCUA